rnacentral:rRNA from 1 species
UGUCGGUCUACGGCCCGAGUGGGCGCCUGUYGCGNNGNUUCUUGSGCACGUKGCAGACCCUCGGUYGCMUGGCYGGCUGCACGACGGUACUCGCACGGUAUCGGGCCGMAACCAAUCCAUUCUCGAAUGUGUGUGCGUCGGGCCCGCCGCAAGCYCGGUCAGUAUACCCGGAGNUGCGGACCUGGCSCGUCCCCGGGCCUGACCAGYUGCUAGCAGGCGGUGUCCUCGGACUGGCCAAGCUUCGAAUUACCGGUCGGCGACGCUAUUGCUUUGGGUACUCUCAGGACCCGUCUUGAAACACGGACCAAGGAGUCUAACAUGUGCGCGAGUCAUUGGGAUGCAUAAACCUAAAGGCGAAAUGAAAGUGAAGGUCGACCUUCGCGUCGACCUAGGGAGGAUGGGCCGCGUUACGAUGCGGCCUCGCACUCACGGGGCGUUUCGUUCUCAUUGCGAGAAGAGGCGCACCUAGAGCGUACACGUUGGGACCCGAAAGAUGGUGAACUAUGCCUGGUCAGGACGAA